rnacentral:rRNA from 1 species
UACGGGGGGGGCAAGCGUUGUUCGGAAUUACUGGGCGUAAAGGGCUCGUAGGCGGCCAACUAAGUCAGACGUGAAAUCCCUCGGCUUAACCGGGGAACUGCAUCUGAUACUGGAUGGCUUGAGAUUGGGAGAGGGAUGCGGAAUUCCAAGUGUAGCGGUGAAAUGCGUAGAUAUCUGGAGGAACACCGGUGGCGAAGGCGGCAUCCUGGACCGACACUGACACUGAGGAGCGAAAGCCAGGGGAGCAAACGGG